GGUUGGUAGCCUAGUGGUAGAGCAUUUGCCUAGCAUGCAUGAGGUCCUGGGUUUGAUUCCCAGCACCA
rnacentral:tRNA from 1 species